rnacentral:sRNA from 1 species
GAAACAAAAUAAUCAAGUGCGUCCCAGAGCAACCGAUGCGCUUGCCUUCUAAAUUCAACGGGAGAAGGAUCUGGUUCUGUGUCAUUCUCACCAAUCCAGCCAUACCAGCCUACUUUUUCAUGAGCAUAGUAUGGCCUUGCAGGAGGUGGUGGCAGCGGUCUUGGGCGAGGCCCUGCUCUCUUCCAUUCGUCAACGAGUUCUUUCUCAGUUUUGGGAGGUGGAGGGUGUGCCAUAUCUGAUGCAAGAGGAGCCUCUGGGCCAACUAAAUCAGAUAACUCCCUCUGACUACAUACAGAAGUGCGAUCAACUAAGUUGGCAUACAUAGCUCGUAGUGGAAUAAGUAUUCUCUGUCCACCAAAAGUUUCAGAACCAGCCAAGUAUAUUAUUGUAGUUGAUGGAUAACCUAAUGCCUGAAGCAGAAGUCCAACCUGCAAAAGUGCAGAUUGAAGCACCGCACAAAUUGGCAACCAAAAUGAAUCGAUAAGC